rnacentral:lncRNA from 1 species
UUAAAAGGGGUAACAUACACUAUCAUCCCCAAUCCCCAACAAAAAUGCCCAAAAGGGAUUCAAAUCCCUAAAUCUAGCUCUCUUCUUCACCUUCAUCAAUGGUGGUGGCGAUUUCAUGCCAGCAAGAGACAGCCAACUCCAAGCAUGCGGCCAUGAAGUUGACUACCUCAUAUUCUUCUCCGCUACAGCGGCAAUGGCGACCAUAACGGCAGCGAGAGGUGGCGAUGGCGAGUUCUUCUUCUCCACCGGCAGUGAUGGUGAAUUCUUCUUCUCCACCCCGGUUACGGUAAGUUCUUGAAGACAAAAGCCAAGCCGGCCAAGAGGUCUUAGUGACGGUGCGAAUUUGGGACUAUCGUCUCGUUUGCGUCAUAGAUGGUUUGUGAGCGACUCGAGCCUGAUUAGACUUUUGAGGCCGAUGAGUUGUUGGAGAUUGUUCUCCCUCUCGAUGGCGUCAUUGAGACCAUGGUUUCAUGCAUGUUCGAAAGAUGAAUAAUCGAAUAGGGUUUGGAGGUGAUUGGGGUUAUGGGGUAGGGCUGGGAAGGUGGUAUUGAUGGUGGUCACUGAAGUCGGGUUAGUGUUCAGCUACUCUUUUCCUUCGCCGGACUGAAUCGGUGGCCCUUUUUACCAUACUGUGCAAUGGGACACCCAUUGAUCCCUCUGACAAUGGUGAUAGUGUGAUAUCGGUAGUGACCUUGGCUCAUGAAUUAUGCCUUCAGACCAUCGCAGGGUUAGUGAAGGCUAAGCUCAAUAAGAAAUUCCCCCUUUUGGAUCUUUCAAUUAUUGUCAACGCUUAUCUCCGAUCACUAAGGUAUUGCUACUUCUCCUUUGAAAGCUUUCUUUUUGUAUAGUGUAUGGUGAUUGCUUACUUUUCUAUUUGCUUAUUUGAUACAUGUGCGUUACCUUACCGACUGAUGCCUCUGUUGGGUUUAUUCAAGUGUGAACUCCCACAUUAAAUAUGCGAGUAGGAGUGAAAGAGCUUAUAUCUAAGAAGGACCAUGGAACUAAUACCUUAAGGUUUUAGUUCAAGAGGUGGUGUCUUAGUUGUGGUUCCUCAUCUUCCCAUACCCCUAACAACGGAACUGCCCGGUGGUUGGAGGUUCCCCAAUUGCAGUCUGGUCCAACAAAUGGUAACAAAUGGUAUCAGAGUUGAUGGUUCGGCUUGGGCAUGUAAGAAAAUGAAAUUUAAUGAAUGAAGAAUUACUUCUUAUAUGGGGUUUAAAUCUGAUUAUGGAAACAAACAUGACUACACUACACGUAGAAGUGAUGAAAGAUAGAAAGUUUGAAACUUUCCACUUUCUUUAUGUUACUUGUCUAUUGUUUAUAAGUUUGUGACUGAAUAAUUAUAUUUUCCAUAAGAAUCUUAAAUCAUACAAGUGAAUGUGUUUUUAUUAAAACUACUAAUUGAAUUUGGAAUAGUUGGUAAUUAAAA